rnacentral:tRNA from 1 species
UCCCUAAUAGCCCAGUUGGUAGAGAAUCUGUCUGCAAUACAGGAGACCCCAGUUCGAUUCCUGGGUUGGGAA